rnacentral:rRNA from 1 species
GAAUGCUGACAUAAGUAACGAUAAAGCGGGUGAAAAGCCCGCUCGCCGGAAGACCAAGGGUUCCUGUCCAACGUUAAUCGGGGCAGGGUGAGUCGACCCCUAAGGCGAGGCCGAAAGGCGUAGUCGAUGGGAAACGGGUUAAUAUUCCCGUACUUGGUGUUACUGCGAAGGGGGGACGGAGAAGGCUAUGUUGGCCGGGCGACGGUUGUCCCGGUUUAAGCGUGUAGGUGUGUGUUCCAGGUAAAUCCGGUUCACUUUAACACUGAGGCGUGACGACGAGGCACUACGGUGCUGAAGCAACAAAUGCCCUGCUUCCAGGAAAAGCCUCUAAGCAUCAGGUAACAUCAAAUCGUACCCCAAACCGACACAGGUGGUCAGGUAGAGAAUACCAAGGCGCUUGAGAGAACUCGGGUGAAGGAACUAGGCAAAAUGGUGCCGUAACUUCGGGAGAAGGCACGCUGACACGUAGGUGAAGUGAUUUACUCAUGGAGCUGAAGUCAGUCGAAGAUACCAGCUGGCUGCAACUGUUUAUUAAAAACACAGCACUGUGCAAACACGAAAGUGGACGUAUACGGUGUGACGCCUGCCCGGUGCCGGAAGGUUAAUUGAUGGGGUCAGCGCAAGCGAAGCUCCUGAUCGAAGCCCCGGUAAACGGCGGCCGUAACUAUAACGGUCCUAAGGUAGCGAAAUUCCUUGUCGGGUAAGUUCCGACCUGCACGAAUGGCGUAAUGAUGGCCAGGCUGUCUCCACCCGAGACUCAGUGAAAUUGAACUCGCUGUGAAGAUGCAGUGUACCCGCGGCAAGACGGAAAGACCCCGUGAACCUUUACUAUAGCUUGACACUGAACAUUGAGCCUUGAUGUGUAGGAUAGGUGGGAGGCUUUGAAGUGUGGACGCCAGUCUGCAUGGAGCCGACCUUGAAAUACCACCCUUUAAUGUUUGAUGUUCUAACGUGGGCCCGUUACCCGGGUUGCGGACAGUGUCUGGUGGGUAGUUUGACUGGGGCGGUCUCCUCCUAAAGAGUAACGGAGGAGCACGAAGGUUGGCUAAUCCUGGUCGGACAUCAGGAGGUUAGUGCAAUGGCAUAAGCCAGCUUGACUGCGAGCGUGACGGCGCGAGCAGGUGCGAAAGCAGGUCAUAGUGAUCCGGUGGUUCUGAAUGGAAGGGCCAUCGCUCAACGGAUAAAAGGUACUCCGGGGAUAACAGGCUGAUACCGCCCAAGAGUUCAUAUCGACGGCGGUGUUUGGCACCUCGAUGUCGGCUCAUCACAUCCUGGGGCUGAAGUAGGUCCCAAGGGUAUGGCUGUUCGCCAUUUAAAGUGGUACGCGAGCUGGGUUUAGAACGUCGUGAGACAGUUCGGUCCCUAUCUGCCGUGGGCGCUGGAGAACUGAGGGGGGCUGCUCCUAGUACGAGAGGACCGGAGUGGACGCAUCACUGGUGUUCGGGUUGUCAUGCCAAUGGCACUGCCCGGUAGCUAAAUGCGGAAGAGAUAAGUGCUGAAAGCAUCUAAGCACGAAACUUGCCCCGAGAUGAGUUCUCCCUGAGACUUAGAGUCUCCUGAAGGAACGUUGAA